CAUGUUACAGGUGAGAAGACACCAGCAGUUGCAGCUGGAACUGGAAUGCACAAUGCCGGCUUCCCUUGAGCAAAACAGCUCACCCCAAGGUCCUCUUCCAUCACCAGGAGACCCUGCAGCCUGCCCAUCCAGAGAACUACAGAGGGAGGAUGAGAUCUCACUCUGGCCUCUCCAGAAUUGGCAACCUCCUGGCUCCCCCACACGCCCAACCAUCUGACAGGUUUUGCCUCCAGCUUACAUUCCUUGUGAUGGGGGCAUGCUGAUACCUGCUUGGUUGAGCGACAGAAGAUAAUCAGGUGAGAAAAGUUUGCUAAAGAUAGUUUACAAUGUGCUGAAAUCAUAGAAACAAAGGUGCUUAGAGCAUCCAAAUGAGAACAUAUAUGGGAAAGCAUUUUGCACAGGAUAAAGAACUCUAUAAAACAAGGCAUAAUACUAGUAAUAACCACUCUCCAUUUGACCCUGCUAAGUAUGCUCAGCCAUUGUGGCGAUAGAGGUGGACUGCUUUGAAGCUGUACAUUUUAGGGUGUCAAUUUCCUUUUCACUACUGACACGAUACUCCCUCUAAGUAGAGUAAAACACAGUAAACUAAGACAAUAAAUAAAAGCGGUAUGUUAAAAAAAAAAACACCAUGCCAAGUUGGAUCUCUUUUUAAUGUUAAGCAGUUAGCAAACCUGAAAAUUGUAUUUCUGAUUGGCCUCUUCAUCCAAGCCCAGUUGUUUACAGGUAAGGUAAUGUCUAGCAUGUUGGGGUCUCAUAGCUGUGUUAGAAUCUCCCAUGUUCUUGGUUUUCCAAUGGGGAGUCAGGCUUAGUAAAUUAAUUUUCAGGAGCUGAAAGCUUUAUUUAAGAGUUGGACCCAACUUAAAUAUUUGACUAGUCUUAAGAAUAGAAGAUUAAAGCACAAUUCAUGAAUUUGCAGAUAGUUCUUCUAUAAUUUUGGGAGGGUACCAAAUGCUUUUUUAAAAAAUUUCUGUACAAAUCUACUGGGUUUCCUGCCUGUGGACACUCAAGGGACACACUAUAAGCAUGUGGCUUCAUAUACACUUGCUGGGAGCAAAAGGCAAGGAAAGGGAUGGUUUAUUUGGGGUCAGUCACAUGAACAGUGCUGGGGCUCCCGAUAGAGUUCAAGGGUAGAUUUCUUUUUAAUUGUAGUAAAAUACACACGACAAAAUUUCCAUGUGAACCCUUUUGAAGUGGCAUAGGUCUGUUCACAGUGUUGUGUAGCCAUCAACAUUCUUUAUCUCCAGAUUUUUAUCACCUCAUACAGAAACUCUUACUAACUCAUUAAAUAAUAACUCCCCAAAUCCUCUUACCCCUGUCCUUGGUAACCUCUAUUCUAUUUUCUGUCUCUGUGAAUUUGCCUAUUCAAGGUAUUUUAUAUAAAGUGGAAUCAUACAAUACUUGUCCUUUAUGUCUGGCUUCUUUCUAGUAUAACACUGAGAUAUAAUGAGUCAUAAGAAAUACAUAUUUGGUCAUUCACAUGAUCAAAUAUAUAUUUCCCAGGUAUAUUUGGUCUUCAUCCACAGUUCCUGAAAACACUGCAGAGUCUUUAAAGUGAAAUGGGUGUUUUUCCAUGUUAAUAAGAGACUUUUGGACGCCUACCCAAGGGCAGGGGCUGGAGGUUGAAUCAGCCAAUGGCAAAUAAUUGAGUCGAUCAUGAACAUGCGAUGAAGCCCUCCCCAAAAUCCCUGAGAAGAGCUUGUUGCUCUCGCUUGGCUCAGUUGGAUCCUGUUUCUCUGUCGGGGGGAGAGGGCUUCUAAGCGUGGGGAACCAGAACGCCCCCACAUGCCCCCAAGCCAGGCCCCAAACUCCGUAAGGACAAGCUCUCUUAUUUGGGACCUUGCCCUGUGUCUCUCUUCAUCUGGCUGUUAACUUGUAUCCUUUAGGAAACUGGCAAACCUAAGUGCUUUCCUGAGUUCUGUGAGCCGCUCUAGCAAAUUAAUCGAACCUAAAGGGGGAGGUCGUGGGAACCUCCAAUCCGUAGCCGGUAGGUCAGAAGCACAGGUAGCAGCCUGGGGUUUGCGACAGCCGUCUGGAGUGGGGUGGAGGGCCGUCUUGUAGGACGGAGCCCCUAACCUGGGGAAUCUGGUGCUGUUUCCGGGCAGAUAGCAUCAGAAUCGAGCUGAGUUCUUGGACACCCUGCCGGUAUUCGAGAAUUGCCUGGCGUUAGUAUGUGUGGGAAGACCCCCCUCCCACAUACUUACACAUGUGGAAUUGGGUCUGGGAACCUGAACAGAGUUAUACUACUAUUACUGCUGUGCAUGACAUUGUUAUUGUUAUAUAUAUGUAGGAAAAGACUACACCCUUGCAGAUAUUUUCCAGGUUCAUCCAUGUAGCAGCGUAUGUCGGAAGCUUGGCUUUUGAUGUGGCAGUUCUAUGGAGGCAGAGACAUCACAGAGACAAGAGAAGGAAGGGCCUCCAAAGUGUCUGUAUCCGGAUCCUUGAGCACCUGUGAUUAGAAAGGGCACACAGGUCCCACCAACUGACCAGUGCUUGAGUGGCUCAGGGUCUCAGCCUGCCCAGGGCUUACUUGGCCAAGAGCUUCCUGAAUUUGUUCCUGGCAAGUUGAGCUUUGCUAUCCAUCUUCUCCUCCAUGGAGCUGGGUGUACUUGGCCAAGGGCUCAGAUGGCAAGAGACCCAGGCUUGGUUGAUCCAGGGCAGAUCCUCACCACGAGGCUAGCAAUGCAAAUAUCUUCCGUUGCCCUAGCACAGAGGGAAACAUAGCAGCCCGUUCCUCAGACUGGGCUUGUUUGCACUCCUGAAAAGACUGUCACAGAGUCAGAUUCAUUCUGACCAUGAGGCAAUCGCAUGAGUUCUUGCCCAUAAGCCUGGUAAAUCGUUUGGGCUGGUCACCACGAGACCAUCCUGUGCCACCUGGAUACUACCUGCACUAGUGGAAAACUUCUCCAAGCUUCCCAGUCAUCCUGGUCUAAGACAUCUGCAGUAGACCCCACCAGGUAGUCCUUGAUGAAGGACUUGAACCCAUUCACCAGCUGGUCAGGAGUAACGUUAAGAGCUGGGGUCAUCAGGAGACCUGAAGUUCAAGGUCAUAUUUUCUAAAGUCUAAGAUCUAGGGGUUACUGCAUCCUUGCUGU